UGUGCGUGUGUGUGGGAUUGACGAAUCAUCAUGGUAUUGAGCAAGACCGCAGGCGACGCCGACGAGAAUCUACGGUGCACUUUUCCCUUCCCCGGUUGAAGAUUCCAGAAGGGUGGAUGCCGAAGGAGGCUGCCUAUCAGAUUGUGAAGGAUGAGUUAAUGCUGGACGGCAACCCUCGCCUCAACUUGGCCUCUUUUGUCACCACUUGGAUGGAACCCGAGUGGGAUCAGCUCAUCAUGGCCGCCUUCAACAAGAACUAUGUCGACAUGGAUGAGUAUCCUGUCACCACCGAGCUUCAGAAUCGGGUGAGGCCGUGGAGCUUGUAGACGAGAACACCAUCUGCGUUGCAGCCAUUCUAGGAUCCACUCUCACCGGAGAAUUCGAGGAUGUGAAGCUGCUAAAUGAGCUCCUGAGAAAGAAGAACGAGGAGACGGGUUGGGACACCCCCAUCCACGUUGAUGCUGCCAGCGGAGGCUUUUCUUUAUCCCGACCUUGAAUGGGACUUCCGUUUACCUCUGGUGAAGAGCAUCAAUGUGAGUGGCCACAAAUACGGCCUUGCCGGUGUUGGCUGGGUUGUCUGGAGGAGCCACCAGACGACCUUCUUUUCCAUAUCAACUACCUUGGAUCUGAUCAACCUACUUUCACCUUCAACUUCUCCAAAGGUUCUAGCCAGAUCAUUGCCCAGUACUAUCAAUUCAUAAGACUUGGUUUUGAGACCGCAGGCGACGCCGACGAGAAUCUACGGUGCACUUUUCCCUUCCCCGGUUGAAGAUUCCAGAAGGGUGGAUGCCGAAGGAGGCUGCCUAUCAGAUUGUGAAGGAUGAGUUAAUGCUGGACGGCAACCCUCGCCUCAACUU